UUGGAGGGCAAGUCUGGUGCCAGCAGCCGCGGUAAUUCCAGCUCCAAUAGCGUAUAUUAAAGUUGUUGUGGUUAAAAAGCUCGUAGUUGAACCUUGGGCCUGGCUGGCCGGUCCGCCUCACCGCGUGUACUGGUCCGACCGGGCCUUUCCCUCUGUGGAACCCCAUGCCCUUCACUGGGUGUGGCGGGGAAACAGGACUUUUACUGUGAAAAAAUUAGAGUGCUCCAGGCAGGCCUAUGCUCGAAUACAUUAGCAUGGAAUAAUAGAAUAGGACGUGUGGUUCUAUUUUGUUGGUUUCUAGGACCGCCGUAAUGAUUAAUAGGGACAGUCGGGGGCAUCAGUAUUCAAUUGUCAGAGGUGAAAUUCUUGGAUUUAUUGAAGACUAACUACUGCGAAAGCAUUUGCCAAGGAUGUCUUCAUUAAUCAGGAACGAAAGUUAGGGGAUCGAAGACGAUCAGAUACCGUCGUAGUCUUAACCAUAAACUAUGCCGACUAGGGAUCGGACGAUGUUAUAUUUUGACUCGUUCGGCGCCUUACGGGAAAC
rnacentral:rRNA from 1 species